rnacentral:rRNA from 1 species
GUAACACGUGAGCAACCUGCCCCUGACUCUGGGAUAAGCGCUGGAAACGGCGUCUAAUACUGGAUAUGUGACGUGAUCGCAUGGUCUGCGUCUGGAAAGAUUUUUCGGUUGGGGAUGGGCUCGCGGCCUAUCAGCUUGUUGGUGAGGUAAUGGCUCACCAAGGCGUCGACGGGUAGCCGGCCUGAGAGGGUGACCGGCCACACUGGGACUGAGACACGGCCCAGACUCCUACGGGAGGCAGCAGUGGGGAAUAUUGCACAAUGGGCGCAAGCCUGAUGCAGCAACGCCGCGUGAGGGAUGACGGCCUUCGGGUUGUAAACCUCUUUUAGCAGGGAAGAAGCGAAAGUGACGGUACCUGCAGAAAAAGCGCCGGCUAACUACGUGCCAGCAGCCGCGGUAAUACGUAGGGCGCAAGCGUUAUCCGGAAUUAUUGGGCGUAAAGAGCUCGUAGGCGGUUUGUCGCGUCUGCUGUGAAAUCCCGAGGCUCAACCUCGGGCCUGCAGUGGGUACGGGCAGACUAGAGUGCGGUAGGGGAGAUUGGAAUUCCUGGUGUAGCGGUGGAAUGCGCAGAUAUCAGGAGGAACACCGAUGGCGAAGGCAGAUCUCUGGGCCGUAACUGACGCUGAGGAGCGAAAGGGUGGGGAGCAAACAGGCUUAGAUACCCUGGUAGUCCACCCCGUAAACGUUGGGAACUAGUUGUGGGGUCCAUUCCACGGAUUCCGUGACGCAGCUAACGCAUUAAGUUCCCCGCCUGGGGAGUACGGCCGCAAGGCUAAAACUCAAAGGAAUUGACGGGGACCCGCACAAGCGGCGGAGCAUGCGGAUUAAUUCGAUGCAACGCGAAGAACCUUACCAAGGCUUGACAUAUACGAGAACGGGCCAGAAAUGGUCAACUCUUUGGACACUCGUAAACAGGUGGUGCAUGGUUGUCGUCAGCUCGUGUCGUGAGAUGUUGGGUUAAGUCCCGCAACGAGCGCAACCCUCGUUCUAUGUUGCCAGCACGUAAUGGUGGGAACUCAUGGGAUACUGCCGGGGUCAACUCGGAGGAAGGUGGGGAUGACGUCAAAUCAUCAUGCCCCUUAUGUCUUGGGCUUCACGCAUGCUACAAUGGCCGGUACAAAGGGCUGCAAUACCGUGAGGUGGAGCGAAUCCCAAAAAGCCGGUCCCAGUUCGGAUUGAGGUCUGCAACUCGACCUCAUGAAGUCGGAGUCGCUAGUAAUCGCAGAUCAGCAACGCUGCGGUGAAUACGUUCCCGGGUCUUGUACACACCGCC